rnacentral:rRNA from 1 species
CAGCAGCCACGGUAAUACGAAGGGUGCAAGCGUUAAUCGGAAUUACUGGGCGUAAAGCGUGCGUAGGCGGUGAGUUAAGUCUGCUGUGAAAUCCCCGGGCUCAACCUGGGAAUGGCAGUGGAUACUGGCUCGCUAGAGUGUGUCAGAGGAUGGUGGAAUACCCGGUGUAGCGGUGAAAUGCGUAGAGAUCGGGAGGAACAUCAGUGGCGAAGGCGGCCAUCUGGGACAACACUGACGCUGAGGCACGAAAGCGUGGGGAGCAAACAGGAUUAGAUACCCCCGUAGUCCCUGUCUCUUAUAC